UUGCAGGCUGNAACCCGCCUGCAUGAAGCCGGAAUCGCUAGUAAUCGCGGAUCAGAAUGCCGCGGUGAAUACGUUCCCGGGUCUUGUACACACCGCCCGUCACACCAUGGGAGUCGGGAAUGCCCGAAGUCAGUGGCCCAACCGGAAGGGGGGAGCUGCCGAAGGCAGGCCCGGUGACUGGGGUGAAGUCGUAACAAGGUACC
rnacentral:rRNA from 1 species